GACGUAGGUGGCGAACGUUAUCCGGAAUUAUUGGGCGUAAAGGGUGCGUAGAUGGCCUGAUAAGUUAGCAGUGGGAAAUCGAGGCUCAACCUCGUGGAAGCUGGUAAUACUGUCAGGCUCGAGUGCAGGAGAGGUUAACGGAACUCCAUGUGGAGCGGUGAAAUGUGUAGAUAUAUGGAAGAACACCAAUAACGGCGAAGGCAGUUAACUAUUCUGUUACUGACAUUGAGGCACGAAAGCGUGGGGAGCAAAACGG
rnacentral:rRNA from 1 species